rnacentral:tRNA from 1 species
GCCUGGGUGGCUCAGUCAGUUAAGCGUCUGACUUCGGCUCAGGUCAUGAUCUCACGGUUUGUGGGUUCGAGCCCCACGUCAGGCU